UUUAUGUCAUUUUCCUUUUGCUCAUUUGAGAUCAUUAUUGUAUAUAAAUAUAUUGUUGUCUUGUGUUUGUUUUGUCUUUGUUUUGUGUGAACCUAAUGCAAAAAGGAGAAAGGACUUAGAAUUAGGACAUACCUAUGCUUAAAGGAGUUCAAGAGCAAAUCAUUAUUGUAUAUAAAUAUAUUGUUGUCUUGUGUUUGUUUUGUCUUUGUUUUGUGUGAACCUAAUGCAAAAAGGAGAAAGGACUUAGAAUUAGGACAUACCUAUGCUUAAAGGAGUUCAAGAGCAACUAGGCCUAAUGCCUUUAGAAUGCUAAACUUAUUGAAGAGUAACUGGGCCUCAUGCCUUUAGAAUGCUAAAUAUCAAAGUUGACUUCAAAGGAC
rnacentral:lncRNA from 1 species